rnacentral:rRNA from 1 species
UGGGGAAUAUUGGGCAAUGGAGGCAACUCUGACCCAGCAACGCCGCGUGAAGGAUGAAGGUUUUCGGAUUGUAAACUUCUGUCGCGAGGGACGAAGAAUGACGGUACCUCGUAAGAAAGCCCCGGCUAACUACGUGCCAGCAGCCGCGGUAAUACGGAGGGGGCGAGCGUUGUCCGGAAUGACUGGGCGUAAAGGGAGUGUAGGCGGCAACACAAGUUAUAUGUGAAAUCCCGCGGCUUAACCGUGGAACUGCAUAUAAAACUGUGUAGCUGGAGUGCAGGAGAGGUAAGUGGAAUUCCUAGUGUAGCGGUGGAAUGCGUAGAUAUUAGGAGGAACACCAGAGGCGAAGGCGACUUACUGGACUGUAACUGACGCUGAGGCUCGAAAGCGUGGGGAGCAAACAGG